rnacentral:misc_RNA from 1 species
GAUGAAGAACGUAGCGAAAUGCGAUAAGUAGUGUGAAUUGCAGAAUUCAGUGAAUCAUCGAAUCUUUGAACGCACAUUGCGCCCUUUGGUAUUCCAAAGGGCAUGCCUGUUCGAGCGUCAUUUGUACCCUCAAGCUUUGCUUGGUGUUGGGCGUCUUGUCUCUAGCUUUGCUGGAGACUCGCCUUAAAGUAAUUGGCAGCCGGCCUACUGGUUUCGGAGCGCAGCACAAGUCGCACUCUCUAUCAGCAAAGGUCUAGCAUCCAUUAAGCCUUUUUUUCAACUUUUGACCUCGGAUCAGGUAGGGAUACCCUCUGAACUUAAGCAUAUCAAUAAGCGGAGGA